CCUACGGUAGACAGCAGUAGGGAAUCUUUCACAAUGGGCGAAAGCCUGAUGGAGCAACGCCGCGUGCAGGAUGAAGGCCUUCGGGUUGUAAACUGCUUUUAUAAGCGAGAAAUAUGAUGGUAACUUAUGAAUAAGGAUCGUCUAACUACGUGCCAGCAGCCGCGGUCAUACGUAGGAUCCGAGCAUUAUCCGGAGUGACUGGGUGUAAAGGGUUGCGUAGGUGGCAUAAUAAGUAGCUAGUGAAAUCUGGUGGCUCAACCAUUCAGACUAUUAGCUAAACUGUUAAGCUCGAGAACGUUAGGGGUAACUGGAAUUUCUAGUGUAGGAGUGGAAUCCGUAGAUAUUAGAAAGAACACCAAUAGCGUAGGCAGGUUACUGGGACGGUUCUGACACUAAGGCACGAAAGCGUAGGGAGCAAACGGGAUUAGAUACCCUUGUAGUC
rnacentral:rRNA from 1 species